GACGAACGCUGGCGGCGUGCUUAACACAUGCAAGUCGAGCGGUAAGGCCCUUUCGGGGGGUACACGAGCGGCGAACGGGUGAGUAACACGUGGGUGACCUGCCCUCAGCUCUGGGAUAAGCCUGGGAAACCGGGUCUAAUACUGGAUAUGACUCCAUGACGCAUGUUGUGGGGUGGAAAGCCUUGUGCGGCUGAGGAUGGGCCCGCGGCCUAUCAGCUUGUUGGUGGGGUGAUGGCCUACCAAGGCGACGACGGGUAGCCGGCUUGAGAGGGCGACCGGCCACACUGGGACUGAGACACGGCCCAGACUCCUACGGGAGGCAGCAGUGGGGAAUCUUGCGCAAUGGGCGAAAGCCUGACGCAGCGACGCCGCGUGAGGGAUGACGGCCU
rnacentral:rRNA from 1 species